rnacentral:rRNA from 1 species
GAUGAACGCUAGCGAUAGGCCUAACACAUGCAAGUCGAGGGGCAUCACAUGAAGUAGCAAUACGGAUGGUGGCGACCGGCGCACGGGUGAGUAACACGUAUGCAACCUGCCUUCAACAAGGGGAUAACCCGUUGAAAGACGGACUAAUACCCUAUAACACAGGGGUCCCGCAUGGGAAUAUUUGUUAAAGGACAACCGGUUGAAGAUGGGCAUGCGUUCCAUUAGCUAGUUGGCGGGGUAACGGCCCACCAAGGCAACGAUGGAUAGGGGAACUGAGAGGUUUAUCCCCCACACUGGUACUGAGACACGGACCAGACUCCUACGGGAGGCAGCAGUGAGGAAUAUUGGUCAAUGGACGCAAGUCUGAACCAGCCACGUCGCGUGAAGGAAGACGGCCCUACGGGUUGUAAACUUCUUUUAUACGGGAAUAAAGUGCCCCACGCGUGGGGUUUUGCAUGUACCGUAUGAAUAAGGAUCGGCUAACUCGUGCCAG